rnacentral:rRNA from 1 species
AGUGAACGCUGGCGGUGGGCCUAACACAUGCCAGUCGAACGGCCGCACAGUAAGAGCUUGCUCUUACGGUUGGCGAGUGGCGGGCGGGUGAGGCAUACAUCGGCAUCUACUUUUUCGUGGGGGAUAACGUAGGGCAGCUGACGCUAAUAGCGCAUACGACCUACGGGUGAAAUCAGGGGUUCUUCGGGCCUUGCGCGAUUGUAUGAGCCGAUGUCGCAUUAGCUAGUUGGGUGGGUAAAGGCCCACCAAGGCAACGAUCCGUAGCUGGCCUGAGAGGAUGAUCAGCCACACUGGAACUGAGACACGGUCCAGACUCCUACGGGAGGCAGCAGUGGGGAAUAUUGGACAAUGGGCGCAAGCCUGAUCCAGCCAUACCGCGUGGGUGAAGAAGGCCUUCGGGUUGUAAAGCCCUUUUGUUGGGAAAGAAAAGCAGCAUGUGAAUACCCCGCUGUUCUGACGGUACCCAAAGAAUAAGCACCGGCUAACUUCGUG